rnacentral:rRNA from 1 species
UACGAAGGGGGCUAGCGUUGCUCGGAAUCACUGGGCGUAAAGCGCACGUAGGCGGAUUGUUAAGUCAGGGGUGAAAUCCUGGAGCUCAACUCCAGAACUGCCUUUGAUACUGGCGAUCUUGAGUCCGGGAGAGGUGAGUGGAACUGCGAGUGUAGAGGUGAAAUUCGUAGAUAUUCGCAAGAACACCAGUGGCGAAGGCGGCUCACUGGCCCGGUACUGACGCUGAGGUGCGAAAGCGUGGGGAGCAACAGGAGUUAAGAAACCC